rnacentral:rRNA from 1 species
GAUAAGGUUAAGUUAAUAAGGGCGCACGGUGGAUGCCUUGGCACUAGAAGCCGAAGAAGGACGUGACUAACGACGAAAUGCUUUGGGGAGCUGUAAGUAAGCGCUGAUCCAGAGAUGUCCGAAUGGGGGAACCCACUAGCUACUGGCUAGUAUCCAUAACUGUUAAGGUUAUGAGAAGGAAGACGCAGUGAACUGAAACAUCUAAGUAGCUGCAGGAAGAGAAAGCAAACGCGAUUGCCUUAGUA